rnacentral:rRNA from 1 species
CACGUAGGGCGCAAGCGUUGUCCGGAAUUAUUGGGCGUAAAGGGCUCGUAGGCGGUCCGUCACGUCCGCUGUGAAAACCCAGGGCUCAACCCUGGGCUUGCAGUGGAUACGGGCAGACUAGAGGUAGGUAGGGGAGAAUGGAAUUCCCGGUGUAGCGGUGAAAUGCGCAGAUAUCAGGAGGAACACCGGUGGCGAAGGCGGAUCUCUGGGCCAUUACUGACGCUGAGGAGCGAAAGCGUGGGGAGCGAACAGG